rnacentral:rRNA from 1 species
AGUGAACGCUGGCGGUAGGCCUAACACAUGCAAGUCGAACGGCAGCACGUUAAGAGCUUGCUCUUACGGGUGGCGAGUGGCGGCCGGGUGAGGAAUACAUCGGAAUCUACUUUUUCGUGGGGGAUAACGUAGGGAAACUUACGCUAAUACCGCAUACUACCUACGGUUGAAAGCAUGGGCUCUUCGGACCUUGCUCGAUUUAAUGAGCCGAUGUCGGAUUAGCUAGUUGGCGGGGUAAAGGCCCACCAAGGCGACGAUCCGUAGCUGGUCUGAGAGGAUGAUCAGCCACACUGGAACUGAGACACGGUCCAGACUCCUACGGGAGGCAGCAGUGGGGAAUAUUGGACAAUGGGCGCAAGCCUGAUCCAGCCAUACCGCGUGGGUGAAGAAGGCCUUCGGGUUGUAAAGCCCUUUUGUUGGGAAAGAAAAGCAGCAGGUUAAUACCCCGCUGUUCUGACGGUACCCAAAGAAUAAGCACCGGCUAACUUCGUG